rnacentral:rRNA from 1 species
CUGCGGCCGAUUAGGUAGUUGGUUAGGUAACGGCUUACCAAGCCAUUGAUCGGUACGGGUUGUGAGAGCAAGAGCCCGGAGAUGGAACCUGAGACAAGGUUCCAGGCCCUACGGGGUGCAGCAGGCGCGAAACCUCCGCAAUGUGAGAAAUCGCGACGGGGGGAUCCCAAGUGCCAUUCUUAACGGGAUGGCUUUUCAUUAGUGUAAAGAGCUUUUGGAAUAAGGGCUGGGCAAGACCGGUGCCAGCCGCCGCGGUAACACCGGCAGCUCUAGUGGUAGCAGUUUUUAUUGGGCCUAAAGCGUCCGUAGCCGGUUUAAUAAGUCUCUGGUGAAAUCCUGUAGCUUAACUGUGGGAAUUGCUGGAGAUACUAUUAGACUUGAGACCGGGAGAGGUUAGAGGUACUCCCAGGGUAGAGGUGAAAUUCUGUAAUCCUGGGAGGACCGCCUGUUGCGAAGGCGUCUAACUGGAACGGUUCUGACGGUGAGGGACGAAAGUUAGGGGCGCGAACCGGAUUAGAUACCCGGGUAGUCCUAACUGUAAACGAUGCGGACUUGGUGUUGGGGUGGCUUUGAGCUGCUCCAGUGCCGAAGGGAAGCUGUUAAGUCCGCCGCCUGGGAAGUACGGUCGCAAGACUGAAACUUAA